rnacentral:rRNA from 1 species
AUGAACGCUAGCGGCAGGCCUAACACAUGCAAGUCGAGGGGCAGCACAGGUAGCAAUACUGGGUGGCGACCGGCGGAUGGGUGCGUAACGCGUAUGCAACCUACCAUUGAUUGGGGCAUAGCCCGAAGAAAUUCGGAUUAAUACUCCAUAAUAUUCAUCAAAGGCAUCUUUUAUGAAUUAAAGCUUUUGCGAUCAAUGAUGGGCAUGCGUGACAUUAGUUAGUUGGUGAGGUAACGGCUCACCAAAACGAUGAUGUCUAGGGGUUCUGAGAGGAUUAUCCCCCACACUGGUACUGAGACACGGACCAGACUCCUACGGGAGGCAGCAGUGAGGAAUAUUGGUCAAUGGACGCAAGUCUGAACCAGCCAUGCCGCGUGCAGGAUGACGGCCCUAUGGGUUGUAAACUGCUUUUGUACGGAACGAAACGGUCUGCCCUAAUACGGCGGGCUAAUGACGGUACCGUAAGAAUAAGCACCGGCUAACUACGUG